UGGGGAAUAUUGCACAAUGGGCGCAAGCCUGUUGCAGCCAUGCCGCGUGUAUGAAGAAGGCCUUCGGGUUGUAAAGUACUUUCAGCGGGGAGGAAGGUGUUGUGGUUAAUAACCGCAGCAAUUGACGUUACCCGCAGAAGAAGCACCGGCUAACUCCGUGCCAGCAGCCGCGGUAAUACGGAGGGUGCAAGCGUUAAUCGGAAUUACUGGGCGUAAAGCGCACGCAGGCGGUCUGUCAAGUCGGAUGUGAAAUCCCCGGGCUCAACCUGGGAACUGCAUUCGAAACUGGCAGGCUAGAGUCUUGUAGAGGGGGGUAGAAUUCCAGGUGUAGCGGUGAAAUGCGUAGAGAUCUGGAGGAAUACCGGUGGCGAAGGCGGCCCCCUGGACAAAGACUGACGCUCAGGUGCGAAAGCGUGGGGAGCAAACA
rnacentral:rRNA from 1 species